UCUGCUUUCUGUGCCACCUUC
rnacentral:siRNA from 1 species